rnacentral:lncRNA from 1 species
CGUGAUUAUUACAGUCGCUUGCAGAGAUAAGUAAACUGAGGUUCAGAGAAGUUAAAUAAUUUGCACAAGACCACAUGGCUUGAAAGCCGUAGAGCCUGGAAUCAGUCUUAGGACCUUUUCGCUGCAUAAUGCUGGACCGGCGCCCAGGAGAAAGUCUACUCAACUAUUUAACUAGAAGCAAUCAGGGAAACAGAGGAGCAGAGAAACCUCAGGAAGGGACCUGGAGUUGUAAUAAUCAAGUGGAGAGCCAUGGAAUUUUAACUCGGCCACAUAAACAGCGGCACAGACAUCUUCAUAUUGGGAAACUGAUCAUAGACUUUCUAGCUUUUACUACUUGUUUAUGGUGUGUGUGUGUGUGUGUGUGUGUGUGUAUUUACUCCAAGGCCCCAGAACUGACUGUCCUAUCUACAAACAGCACUACAUUGGGAAAUUGCACUCACCGCAGCCACAUUUGCCUGAACACCUGUAAAAAUCCCUGAGCUCAUAAACUCUUACAUGUUGCACAGUUAUCAGAAAGAUCCCGAUAUACUGUACCGUGUUUAGAAUUGAAAGAUGGAAAGAGCUGGAUUUUAACUUGGUUCUAGUUCUAAUUGGCUAGGACAAAUUGGGCAAGUCAUUUGAAUUCUCUGGGUCUUACAUUCUCUUAUCUAUGGGCAAAAGUUUUUAUGCAGAUGACCUCCGAGACCCCUCUCAGUUUUAGAUUUGGUUAUUAGCUGGUUCCACCCCAACCCUGCAUUAUGUAUUAUAUCAACAAAGACAAGCCAAAAGGCUGAAUCUUAUUGCUCUAGCUAGCAAAGAGCAGCAUAGAGAGGUUAGUCGCUCAGCAAUAUUUAAGGUAAGCUCCUUGACGGUAAAGACCACGUCUUCAUCGUCUUUCUGCCUAAUGCCCAGCACAGUGCCCCGUGCAUUCUAGAAGUCUGCAAACGUUAGCACAUAGAAGGGUAAGUCCUAGUUAGAACUGUGGCUGGGAAGUGAUUGCACAGGUGAGGACUACAAUACCCAGGCUCCCUUGCUUCUAGGUGGGGCCAUAUGACUAGUUUCCCCCAACCGGAUAUGUGUUCCCCCCAAGACAGGUGGAUGUACCUUUUCCACUGUCUCUUAGAAGCCGUGUUCUGAAGAUGACAGAAUUCCUGGGUCCUUGAAUGCUCGUGUGGGGCAGAAUACCCCAUUACUCACUUGCGUCAAACUGUUUUGAAAGUAAGACGCAAACUUCCAUUAAGUUAAGCCUCUAAAGUUUAGGGGUUGAUUUGUUAUGACAGUUGUUUUUACUUUAAUGAGUACACAGAGAGUAAUAAUUGCUUCAAUGCCAAAGCACAUUAGAUUUGCAAGAGAUUCGCUGAGGGAAAGAGGGAGAAAGGGAGGGUGAGAGAGGGAAGAAAAGAAGAGGAAAGCAGGGAGAAGAAGAGAGGAGAGGAGAGGAAAAGAAAAAGAAAGAGCUGGUUUGUUUGGAAAAGCAUUUCAUUUGGAAGACUGAAAGGU